GUGGGGAAUAUUGGGCAAUGGGCGAAAGCCUGACCCAGCAACGCCGCGUGAAGGAAGAAGGUUUUCGGAUCGUAAACUUCUAUCCUUGGUGAAGAUAAUGACGGUAGCCAAGAAGGAAGCCCCGGCUAACUACGUGCCAGCAGCCGCGGUAAUACGUAGGGGGCAAGCGUUGUCCGGAAUGAUUGGGCGUAAAGGGCGCGUAGGCGGCCCGGUAAGUCUGAAGUGAAAGUCCUGCUUUUAAGGUGGGAAUUGCUUUGGAUACUGUCGGGCUUGAGUGCAGGAGAGGUAAGCGGAAUUCCCGGUGUAGCGGUGAAAUGCGUAGAGAUCGGGAGGAACACCAGUGGCGAAGGCGGCUUACUGGACUGUAACUGACGCUGAGGCGCGAAAGUGUGGGGAGCAAACAGGAUUAGAUACCCCGGUAGUCC
rnacentral:rRNA from 1 species